AUUGAACGCUGGCGGCAUGCCUUACACAUGCAAGUCGAACGGUAACGGGCCUUCGGGUGCCGACGAGUGGCGAACGGGUGAGUAAUGCAUCGGAACGUACCUUUCAGUGGGGGAUAACGUAGCGAAAGUUACGCUAAUACCGCAUAUUCUGUGAGCAGGAAAGCAGGGGAUCGCAAGACCUUGCGCUGAUUGAGCGGCCGAUGUCAGAUUAGCUAGUUGGUGAGGUAAAGGCUCACCAAGGCGACGAUCUGUAGCGGGUCUGAGAGGAUGAUCCGCCACACUGGAACUGAGACACGGUCCAGACUCCUACGGGAGGCAGCAGUGGGGAAUUUUGGACAAUGGGGGCGAACCCUGAUCCAGCCAUGCCGCGUGAGUGAAGAAGGCCUCGUGUAAGUACGUACUUCGUCGGACGAAGUACGACGACUAGGUUAAGUUAACCCGUACGUUACGUCGG
rnacentral:rRNA from 1 species